UACGUAGGGGGCUAGCGUUGUCCGGAUUUAUUGGGCGUAAAGAGCUCGUAGGCGGUCUGUCGCGUCGGAUGUGAAAAUCCAGGGCUCAACCCUGGACCUGCAUUCGAUACGGGCAGACUAGAGUUCGGCAGGGGAGACUGGAAUUCCUGGUGUAGCGGUGAAAUGCGCAGAUAUCAGGAGGAACACCGGUGGCGAAGGCGGGUCUCUGGGCCGAUACUGACGCUGAGGAGCGAAAGCGUGGGGAGCAAACAGG
rnacentral:rRNA from 1 species